GGGCGAGAGAGAGUGAGAGAGAGUGAGGGUGGGAGAGUGAAAUCUGUUAGGUGAGGCUGGCCCAUUCCUUUCUCAAGCUCCAAAAAGGAAAAGAACAAAAAAUCACAAAAAUUAGCUUUCGAAUGUGCUCGGCAGCUUCCGUUUCACGGCGUUGAGCGCCGCAACCUCCUUGCGAAAAGGUCCCCUUUCUCCUUCUCCCUAUGUCUUUCCC
rnacentral:miRNA from 1 species